UACAGAGGUCUCAAGCGUUGUUCGGAUUCAUUGGGCGUAAAGGGUGCGUAGGCGGCGCGGUAAGUCGGGGUGUGAAAUCUCGGAGCUUAACUCCGAAACUGCAUUCGAUACUGCCGUGCUUGAGGACUGGAGAGGAGACUGGAAUUUACGGUGUAGCGGUGAAAUGCGUAGAUAUCGUAAGGAAGACCAGUGGCGAAGGCGGCUCACUGGCCCGAUACUGACGUGAGGUGCGAAAGCGUGGGGAGCAAACAGG
rnacentral:rRNA from 1 species